UGCCCAGUGACACACGUUUAACGGCCGCGGUAUCCUGACCGUGCAAAGGUAGCAUAAUCACUUGUUCCUUAAAUAGGGACUCGCAUGAAAGGCACCACGAGGGUUUAACUGUCUCUUACUUUUAACCA
rnacentral:rRNA from 1 species